rnacentral:pre_miRNA from 1 species
UGCUGGUGUAGAUGUGUCACAGUGCAUCCCCAGUGGCCACUCUGGCACCAACACCAGUUUU